UGGGGAAUAUUGGGCAAUGGGCGCAAGCCUGACCCAGCAACGCCGCGUGAAGGAAGAAGGCUUUCGGGUUGUAAACUUCUUUUCUGAGGGACGAUAGUGACGGUACCUCAGGAAUAAGCCACGGCUAACUACGUGCCAGCAGCCGCGGUAAUACGUAGGUGGCAAGCGUUAUCCGGAUUUACUGGGUGUAAAGGGCGUGUAGGCGGGAUGGUAAGUCAGAUGUGAAAACUAUGGGCUCAACCCAUAGCCUGCAUUUGAAACUAUCGUUCUUGAGUGUUGGAGAGGCAGGCGGAAUUCCGUGUGUAGCGGUGAAAUGCGUAGAUAUACGGAGGAACACCAGUGGCGAAGGCGGCCUGCUGGACAAUAACUGACGCUGAGGCGCGAAAGCGUGGGGAGCAGACAGGAUUAGAUACC
rnacentral:rRNA from 1 species